rnacentral:tRNA from 1 species
CGCGCCUUCGGCUAUGGGUAGGCCCCGGGUCUUUCAAGCCCGAGAAGCGGGUUCGAGCCCCGCAGGCGCGA